rnacentral:rRNA from 1 species
GACGUAGGGCGCGAGCGUUGUCCGGAUUUAUUGGGCGUAAAGAGCUCGUAGGCGGCUCAUUGCGUCGUCGGUGAAAACCCGUGGCUUAACUGCGGGCUUGCCGACGAUACGGGUGGGCUGGAGUUCGGUAGGGGAGACUGGAAUUCCUGGUGUAGCGGUGAAAUGCGCAGAUAUCAGGAAGAACACCUAUGGCGAAAGCAGCUCUCUGGGACGGUACUGACGCUGAGACGCGAAAGCGUGGGGAGCGAACAGG